GUUGGCUUAGCUCAGUAGGUAGAGCAACUGACUUGUAAUCAGCCGGUCACCGGUUCUACUCCGGUAGCCAGUAUCA
rnacentral:tRNA from 1 species